UACGUAGGGGGCAAGCGUUGUCCGGAUUUAUUGGGCGUAAAGAGCGUGUAGGCGGCUAGGUAGGUCCGUUGUGAAAACUCGAGGCUCAACCUCGAGACGCCGGUGGAAACCAUCUAGCUAGAGUCCGGAAGAGGAGAGUGGAAUCCCCGGUGUAGUGGUGAAAUGCGUAGAUAUCGGGAGGAACACCAGUGGCGAAGGCGACUUCCUGGCCUGUUCUUGACGCUGAGGCGCGAAAGCUAGGGUAGCAAACGGG
rnacentral:rRNA from 1 species